UACGUAGGGGGCAAGCGUUGUCCGGAUUUAUUGGGCGUAAAGAGCGUGUAGGCGGCUUUACAGGUCCGUUGUGAAAACUCGAGGCUCAACCUCGAGACGUCGGCGGAAACCCUCUGGCUAGAGUCCGGAAGAGGAGAGUGGAAUUCCUGGUGUAGCGGUGAAAUGCGCAGAUAUCAGGAAGAACACCCGUGGCGAAGGCGGCUCUCUGGGGACGGUACUGACGCUGAGAC
rnacentral:rRNA from 1 species